AUCGCUUCUCAGCCUUUUGGCUAAGAUCAAGUGUAGUAUCUGUUCUUAUCAGUUGCCAGUAGGUGGUUCUAUGCUGACUGUCCCCAGUACCCGGCAAGGGGGAAAGGGAUGGCAGUCGGUGGACACUAAGCCUGCUGGUGUGGAGGUGAAAGCCUUCUGAUUUGGACAGAGAGGCAUGAGGUCGAAGCUGAA